UACGUAGGGGGCAAGCGUUGUCCGGAUUUAUUGGGCGUAAAGCGCGUGUAGGCGGCCAGGUAGGUCCGCUGUGAAAACCCGAGGCUCAACCUCGGGACGUCGGCGGAAACCAUUUGGCUAGAGUCCGGAAGAGGAGAGUGGAAUUCCCGGUGUAGCGGUGAAAUGCGCAGAUAUCGGGAAGAACACCCGUGGCGAAGGCGGUUCUCUGGGACGGUACUGACGCUGAGACGCGAAAGCGUGGGGAGCGAACAGG
rnacentral:rRNA from 1 species